rnacentral:rRNA from 1 species
CACCGGCGGCUCGAGUGGUGGCCACUUUUAUUGGGUCUAAAGCGUCCGUAGCCGGCUCGGCAAGUCCCCUGGGAAAUCUGGCGGCUUAACCGUCAGGCGUCCAGAGGAUACUGCCAGGCUUGGGACCGGGAGAGGUGAGAGGUACCUCAGGGGUAGGGGUGAAAUCUUGUGAUCCCUGAGGGACCACCAGUGGCGAAGGCGUCUCACUAGAACGGGUCCGACGGUCAGGGACGAAAGCUGGGGGCACGAACCGG